GAUGAACGCUGGCGGCGUGCCUAAUACAUGCAAGUCGAGCGAACGGGCGAGAAGCUUGCUUCUCUGAUGUUAGCGGCGGACGGGUGAGUAACACGUGGAUAACCUACCUAUAAGACUGGGAUAACUUCGGGAAACCGUAGCUAAUACCGGAUAAUAUUUUGAACCGCAUGGUUCAAAAGUGAAAGACGGUCUUGCUGUCACUUAUAGAUGGAUCCGCGCUGCAUUAGCUAGUUGGUAAGGUAACGGCUUACCAUGGCAACGAUGCAUAGCCGACCUGAGAGGGUGAUCGGCCACACUGGAACUGAGACACGGUCCAGACUCCUACGGGAGGCAGCAGUAGGGAAUCUUCCGCAAUGGGCGAAAGCCUGACGGAGCAACGCCGCGUGAGUGAUGAAGGUCUUCGGAUCGUAAAACUCUGUUAUUAGGGAAGAACAUAUGUGUAAGUAACUGUGCACAUCUUGACGGUACCUAAUCAGAAAGCCACGGCUAACUACGUG
rnacentral:rRNA from 1 species